rnacentral:rRNA from 1 species
GACGGAGGGAGCUAGCGUUAUUCGAAAUUACUGGGCGUAAAGAGCGCGUAGGCGGAUUAUUAAGUUGGGAGUGAAAGCCCGGGGCUUAACCUCGGAACUGCUUUCAAAACUGCUAGUCUUGAGUAGAGUAGGGGGUGAUGGAAUUCCUAGUGUAGAGGUGAAAUUCUUAGAUAUUAGGAGGAACACCGGUGGCGAAGGCGGUCACCUGGACUCUAACUGACGCUGAGGCGCGAAAGCGUGGGGAGCAAACAGG